rnacentral:rRNA from 1 species
GGNNGUGUGCAAAGGUAGCAUAAUCAUUAGUCUUAUAAUUGAAGACUGGAAUGAAAGGAUAGACUGGAAAAGCUCUUUUUUAAUUUUACUUUUUAACUUUACUUUUUAGUAAAAAGGCUAAAAUACAUCUUUUAGACAAGAAGACCCUAUAAAGCUUUACAUAAAAUAAUCUAGAAAAUUGAAAAUAUGUUUUACUGGGGCGGUAAGAAGAAAAACACUUUUAAAUUAUUAUAAAUAGGAUAGUUUUAAUACCCAAAACUUUUGAAUAUUAAAUAAGUUACUUUAGGGAUAACAGCGUAAUAUAUUUUGAAAGUUCAAAUUGACAAAUGUGUUUGCGACCUCGAUGUUGGAUUAGUUUUCCUUUAUUAUGCAAGAGUAUUAAUAGGGG